GCAGUCGAACGAGUUCUCGUUGAUGAUCGGUGCUUGCACCGAGAUUCAACAUGGAACGAGUGGCGGACGGGUGAGUAACACGUGGGUAACCUGCCCUUAAGUGGGGGAUAACAUUUGGAAACAGAUGCUAAUACCGCAUAGAUCCAAGAACCGCAUGGUUCUUGGCUGAAAGAUGGCGUAAGCUAUCGCUUUUGGAUGGACCCGCGGCGUAUUAGCUAGUUGGUGAGGUAAUGGCUCACCAAGGCGAUGUACGUAGCCGAACUGAGAGGUUGAUCGGCCACAUUGGGACUGAGACACGGCCCAAACUCCUACGGGAGGCAGCAGUAGGGAAUCUUCCACAAUGGACGCAAGUCUGAUGGAGCAACGCCGCGUGAGUGAAGAAGGCUUUCGGGUCGUAAAACUCUGUUGUUGGAGAAGAAUGGUCGGCAGAGUAACUGUUGUCGGCGUGCGGUAUCCAACCAGAAAGCCACGGCUAACUACGUGCCAGCAGCCGCGGUAAUACGUAGGUGGCAAGCGUUAUCCGGAUUUAUUGGGCGUAAAGCGAGCGCAGGCGGUUUUUUAAGUCUGAUGUGAAAGCCCUCGGCUUAACCGAGGAAGCGCAUCGGAAACUGGGAAACUUGAGUGCAGAAGAGGACAGUGGAACUCCAUGUGUAGCGGUGAAAUGCGUAGAUAUAUGGAAGAACACCAGUGGCGAAGGCGGCUGUCUGGUCUGUAACUGACGCUGAGGCUCGAAAGCAUGGGUAGCGAACAGGAUUAGAUACCCUGGUAGUCCAUGCCGUAAACGAUGAAUGCUAGGUGUUGGAGGGUUUCCGCCCUUCAGUGCCGCAGCUAACGCAUUAAGCAUUCCGCCUGGGGAGUACGACCGCAAGGUUGAAACUCAAAGGAAUUGACGGGGGCCCGCACAAGCGGUGGAGCAUGUGGUUUAAUUCGAAGCAACGCGAAGAACCUUACCAGGUCUUGACAUCUUUUGAUCACCUGAGAGAUCAGGUUUCCCCUUCGGGGGCAAAAUGACAGGUGGUGCAUGGUUGUCGUCAGCUCGUGUCGUGAGAUGUUGGGUUAAGUCCCGCAACGAGCGCAACCCUUAUGACUAGUUGCCAGCAUUUAGUUGGGCACUCUAGUAAGACUGCCGGUGACAAACCGGAGGAAGGUGGGGAUGACGUCAAAUCAUCAUGCCCCUUAUGACCUGGGCUACACACGUGCUACAAUGGAUGGUACAACGAGUCGCGAGACCGCGAGGUCAAGCUAAUCUCUUAAAGCCAUUCUCAGUUCGGACUGUAGGCUGCAACUCGCCUACACGAAGUCGGAAUCGCUAGUAAUCGCGGAUCAGCACGCCGCGGUGAAUACGUUCCCGGGCCUUGUACACACCGCCCGUCACACCAUGAGAGUUUGUAACACCCGAAGCCGGUGGCGUAACCCUUUUAGGGAGCGAGCCGUCUAAGGUGGGACAAAUGAUUAGG
rnacentral:rRNA from 1 species